UCUAGUCUAGUAUUCCCUGGUUAUGUUCCACUUCUCCCUCCUCUAUUUCCUCACCUCUUCCUCAGACUCUUCUUUUCCUCUUUCUUGUCCUCCUUACUUUCUCCAACAUUUCCCAUCUGUUUCGUCUUACUGGCCUUCUCUUGCUUCAAAUUUUUUUUGGCCUCGCUCUUCUUUUUCUUAUUGACCUUCCCUUCCUGAAUAUUUUGGACAAGCAGAUAAAGUAAUGUAAGCUUAUGGGUUUUCUCUUCUCUUGAGCUACUAUACCUAGAGCUAUACUAUACUAGAGAAGGACUUAUGCUAUACUAUAGAAGGACUUACGGCCAAUAUUCCCUUCUUGUAUUUCCUCUCACCUGUGGGGUCACUCCAGCCAUUUCCUGGAGCAGCUUCCUGCCGGUCUCGCUCAGGUUGGUGAUGGGAGCCAGGCGAGGGCUGUGGCGGUAUGGGAAGUUCUCUGUUCGGGGCGGAGCGAUAAUGACAGGGUUGAGAGGAGUCCGAGGCCUUGGAACAUUUACUGGGUAGGGAGAGCCUACAGCAGAGGGCAGGGCCCGUAGGGCUUCAGCCAGUGUCCGGUGUGCUGAGGUUACAAGAGGAGAGAGGCCAUUCUUGACAGAUACAGGACCUGAGACCUUCCCUGGGCUCUGUAGGACCAGAAAGUAAAGUAACAUAUCAGGAAAGUGCUAUGUUCAACACAAUCUGUAGAAAUACUUUAUAACUACUCUAUACACAUUGCAGAUACAUGACUACACUCAAUAAGUAAUUGUCUGCAUCAUUUCCAAUCCCCCAUGUAUAUAUAUAAAAAAUAUUUAAUAUGCAGAACUUACCAGGAAGUCUGACUCAUCGAAGGAGUGGAGAGACAGAUCAUCAUCCUCGUCCAUGUCCCUCACAUCAAGCUUUGUCUCCUUUCCAUUCUCAACUUUCAGCUUUGGUGUCCUCCUUUCAUGAUCCUCAUCAUCACACUGUGUAUCAGAGUCAAAUAGUCAGAGACCAUCCUCCUCCCAGUGAUGUCACUCAACAAAGACAUGGAUGGUCAGAUAUGACUUACAGGCUUUGGCCUUCUGUGCACCUUGCCGGUUGGCCACAACACGGAAUCAGGGGUGUUCACCCUCACUGGUUUCAACUGUCAACACAACACUUAAUUUAAAAUGUGAUAAUAUAACAAAAACAGGACAAAACAAACAAAUAUUUGAUAUUUACCACAUAAGGGCGGCGUCUUAAAGCUCUUUUGAUUCUCUCAUCAUUACGAUCCAUCUUUCUUUCUGAGGGAAACAUUUCCAUCAAUUAAUAGACACAAAACACAUCCUGACUCACACACAGACACACACACAAAGAUGGCAUCCCAAAUGGCACCCUAUUUCCUAUAUAUGUAUAUAUAUGUCGGGAAGGAGGUGCCCCAAAAGGCCAAAGAUUACCUGCAACAACCUGAGUGAAGAAAACUAUUGAACAGAUUAAAUCAAAUCUGAACACCGUUUAUGUAGUGAAUUAAUGCAUGGUUACGUCAUUUUGGGUCACA
rnacentral:lncRNA from 1 species